GAUGAACGCUGGCGGCGUGCCUAAUACAUGCAAGUCGAGCGAACGGACGAGAAGCUUGCUUUUCUGAUGUUAGCGGCGGACGGGUGAGUAACACGUGGAUAACCUACCUAUAAGACUGGGAUAACUUCGGGAAACCGGAGCUAAUACCGGAUAAUAUUUUGAACCGCAUGGUUCAAAAGUGAAAGACGGUCUUGCUGUCACUUAUAGAUGGAUCCGCGCUGCAUUAGCUAGUUGGUAAGGUAACGGCUUACCAAGGCAACGAUGCAUAGCCGACCUGAGAGGGUGAUCGGCCACACUGGAACUGAGACACGGUCCAGACUCCUACGGGAGGCAGCAGUAGGGAAUCUUCCGCAAUGGGCGAAAGCCUGACGGAGCAACGCCGCGUGAGUGAUGAAGGUCUUCGGAUCGUAAAACUCUGUUAUUAGGGAAGAACAUAUGUGUAAGUAACUGUGCACAUCUUGACGGUACCUAAUCAGAAAGCCACGGCUAACUACGUGCCAGCAGCCGCGGUAAUACGUAGGUGGCAAGCGUUAUCCGGAAUUAUUGGGCGUAAAGCGCGCGUAGGCGGUUUUUUAAGUCUGAUGUGAAAGCCCACGGCUCAACCGUGGAGGGUCAUUGGAAACUGGAAAACUUGAGUGCAGAAGAGGAAAGUGGAAUUCCAUGUGUAGCGGUGAAAUGCGCAGAGAUAUGGAGGAACACCAGUGGCGAAGGCGACUUUCUGGUCUGUAACUGACGCUGAUGUGCGAAAGCGUGGGGAUCAAACAGGAUUAGAUACCCUGGUAGUCCACGCCGUAAACGAUGAGUGCUAAGUGUUAGGGGGUUUCCGCCCCUUAGUGCUGCAGCUAACGCAUUAAGCACUCCGCCUGGGGAGUACGACCGCAAGGUUGAAACUCAAAGGAAUUGACGGGGACCCGCACAAGCGGUGGAGCAUGUGGUUUAAUUCGAAGCAACGCGAAGAACCUUACCAAAUCUUGACAUCCUUUGACAACUCUAGAGAUAGAGCCUUCCCCUUCGGGGGACAAAGUGACAGGUGGUGCAUGGUUGUCGUCAGCUCGUGUCGUGAGAUGUUGGGUUAAGUCCCGCAACGAGCGCAACCCUUAAGCUUAGUUGCCAUCAUUAAGUUGGGCACUCUAAGUUGACUGCCGGUGACAAACCGGAGGAAGGUGGGGAUGACGUCAAAUCAUCAUGCCCCUUAUGAUUUGGGCUACACACGUGCUACAAUGGACAAUACAAAGGGCAGCGAAACCGCGAGGUCAAGCAAAUCCCAUAAAGUUGUUCUCAGUUCGGAUUGUAGUCUGCAACUCGACUACAUGAAGCUGGAAUCGCUAGUAAUCGUAGAUCAGCAUGCUACGGUGAACACGUUCCCGGGUCU
rnacentral:rRNA from 1 species